GACGAACGCUGGCGGCGUGCUUAACACAUGCAAGUCGAACGGAAAGGCCCUGCUUUUGUGGGGUGCUCGAGUGGCGAACGGGUGAGUAACACGUGAGUAACCUGCCCUUUACUUUGGGAUAACUUCAGGAAACUGGGGCUAAUACCGGAUAUGAGCUCCUGCUGCAUGGUGGGGGUUGGAAAGUUUCGGCGGUUGGGGAUGGACUCGCGGCUUAUCAGCUUGUUGGUGGGGUAGUGGCUUACCAAGGCUUUGACGGGUAGCCGGCCUGAGAGGGUGACCGGCCACAUUGGGACUGAGAUACGGCCCAGACUCCUACGGGAGGCAGCAGUGGGGAAUAUUGCAAAAUGGGCGGAAGCCUGAUGCAGCAACGCCGCGUGCGGGAUGACGGCCUUCGGGUUGUAAACCGCUUUCGCCUGUGACGAAGCGUGAGUGACGGUAAUGGGUAAAGAAGCACCGGCUAACUACGUG
rnacentral:rRNA from 1 species